rnacentral:rRNA from 1 species
UACGUAGGGUGCAAGCGUUGUCCGGAAUUAUUGGGCGUAAAGAGCUCGUAGGCGGUUUGUCGCGUCGGCUGUGAAAACCCGGGGCUCAACCCCGGGCCUGCAUUCGAUACGGGCAGACUAGAGUUCGGUAGGGGAGUCUGGAAUUCCUGGUGUAGCGGUGAAAUGCGCAGAUAUCAGGAGGAACACCGGUGGCGAAGGCGGGACUCUGGGCCGAUACUGACGCUGAGGAGCGAAAGCGUGGGGAGCGAACAGG